CCUACGGGAGGCAGCAGUGGGGAAUAUUGGACAAUGGGCGAAAGCCUGAUCCAGCCAUGCCGCGUGUGUGAAGAAGGCCUUCGGGUUGUAAAGCACUUUCAGUGGGGAAGAAAGCCUUGGGGCUAAUACCCUCGAGGAAGGACAUCACCCACAGAAGAAGCACCGGCUAACUCCGUGCCAGCAGCCGCGGUAAUACGGAGGGUGCGAGCGUUAAUCGGAAUUACUGGGCGUAAAGCGCGCGUAGGCGGUCUGAUAAGCCGGUUGUGAAAGCCCCGGGCUCAACCUGGGAACGGCCUCCGGAACUGUCAGGCUAGAGUGCAGGAGAGGAAGGUAGAAUUCCCGGUGUAGCGGUGAAAUGCGUAGAGAUCGGGAGGAAUACCAGUGGCGAAGGCGGCCUUCUGGACUGACACUGACGCUGAGGUGCGAAAGCGUGGGUAGCAAACAGGAUUAGAUACCCCGGUAGUC
rnacentral:rRNA from 1 species